rnacentral:rRNA from 1 species
UACGAAGGGGGCUAGCGUUGCUCGGAAUUACUGGGCGUAAAGGGCGCGUAGGCGGAUAGUUUAGUCAGAGGUGAAAGCCCAGGGCUCAACCUUGGAACUGCCUUUGAUACUGGCUAUCUUGAGUUCGGGAGAGGUGAGUGGAAUGCCGAGUGUAGAGGUGAAAUUCGUAGAUAUUCGGCGGAACACCAGUGGCGAAGGCGACUCACUGGCCCGAUACUGACGCUGAGACGCGAAAGCGUGGGGAAGCAAACAGGG